UUAAAUAGAGACUUUUGCUCCACUGAAAUAAGCACAUUAAACAUGAAUUAAUAUCCCAAAAAUAUUAAAACACGAAAUAAACAUACAUAAUUGAGAACAUGAAUCAAGUAUUUAUCAUGUAAUGCAGAAAUCAAAUAAUAAGAUUCAUCACGGGUUUCAUCUUCCCUAGGUAUUUAGGGAUUUUAGUUCAUAAACUGAAAUGAA
rnacentral:lncRNA from 1 species